GCUCAAAUAUCUAUUUUUAAUCCCGGGAUGUAUAUAAAUGCCUUAAAAUCACCGCUUUACCUAUUAUAAUGAGAUCGAAGCAGUAAAUAUGGACGUCAGGCGACCGAAAGGAGGACUAUUCUAAGAGUCUUCGUCAAAAAUUACAAGACACGCAAUCGUCGUUUGAUUUUGACUCUGAAUAACAUCGAAGUUCUUUCUCCAUUUUUUUCCGUUGGAAAUUUCACCCUGCCGUUUCGAGUCGCGCAUUUUUUUAACCACAACACCGAUGACUCACGCUCUAUUUGACUAGUUGACGGAGGAGUGGAAUUUCCAUUUCAAAAAAUUUAUUUAGAGUUCACUGUCGCGUGCGACCCCUUUUAUCAAAGUUGUAUGAUCGUACUGCUAUCGACCGAAUCGAAGAUUUGAAUUUCCAUGAGACUUUAUAUGCAGGCAUUCAAUUAUACGUUGGCUAGUUUACUAAAUAUAUCUACCGUUCAACGGGUUCGUUGAUAAGUACGUGGAAUAGCGUUGCAUGUAUAUCUAACGCCGUGCGAACACGUAAGAACUUUGUUACCGAAGACCGUGCAAGCUUUCGAUGCAACUGCUACGUCACGGUGCACGUUGCAGACCCUGAUGCAGUUGAGACCUUACACCAUUUCUCAUUAAUGUUACUAUCAUUUUUUUCUUCAUUUGACGAUGGGGGUUUUUGAUGCACAGAACAGCGAGCGACGCAUAACUUGGAUUUAGUCUGAAAUUAAUUCCCGAGUCGCGCGUUAUGUGUAAAUUCUUUAGAAUCUCUUGUCUAUAUUUACACACUAGUAUAAUAUGUACAACCGAACAAAUUUUUAGAUUAUUUUUAUCAUAAUUUGAGAGGGAUAAAAAAUAAAAAUAUACACAAUUCUUAUUUAAGCUGAAACUUGGAAUCUGCAAGAAACAUUAUAGCUGCCAACUGCAUGACGUAAUUUUCUCAAUCAAAUUACAUUCGUCCCCACGCGACCGGCUGGUUUUUAUUAUGUAUUAUUUACUAUUUUUUUUUUUUUUCAUUUUCUUUCGAAGGGUAAAAAUUGCUGAGGAGCACGAAUAGGCGUCUUUCGAGACCCUGCUAUCCAGCGAGUGUUUAUUACCCCUGCGGUUACGUUAUAUGACCAGCUUGAUCUGCAUAACUUGUAUGUUCGGCAACACAUACGACUGAAAACUGAACUGAAAAAAAAAGAAAUGGUACCAGCGUUAUAUGCAAUGAACUUGGAAUUUUCAAUUUGGAUUUUGCAGCUGGAUCUGUUGCAAAUGCUUUUUGAAAGAUCAAGGUGAGGGAGGUGUUCAUUUUCGAAUUCAUAUCAGUUCUUCGAAAAACCCUUUCAAUUUCAUUAACUAUCAAAACCGCUCGUACAAUGAGUACAGGGUCCUGUGAAAAAUGGAAAAAAAUGUUUGGAAAAAGCUUUGGAAUUCGAGUCGAAGGGGUGAGCCAAGAAUAUGGUCAUCGGACGUAAUAACGGUAUAACUAUAUACGUUGAAAAUAUCGUCCAGGAGAAGAGUGGACAGCUGCAAAAUAUGUAUAAAUUUAAUCCUCCUCGAUCUUCUCAUGAAUCCGUGGAAGCGUAUCCGCACUGGCAUAACUUUUGGAAGCUCGAAAGAGAGGAGUUUCUGUUGAGGAAAAAAAAUAAUGAGAAUACUGAAAAUAGUGGAUUUGAGGAUAUGUGGUGUACGCGAUAUAAAUAUAUAAAUUCUAAGAUAAAAAAAAAUUAAAAAGCCAUGCACUACAAAGGAUUAACGCAUUGGUGGAAACUACAGCUUCGCGUAGCUGACUCAGCGCAAGUGUCUCGAAGGCGUCUGCUGGAUGACCAAAUGCUAAAUUUGGUUACUUCAGGGCUGGGAUUGUGUUACCACGCGUGGGAUAUUCUAAUAUUCCGGGUUCCGCUAGUGCAUCGUGAAUGGUUUUAACGGUUGUCUUAUAUCAGGUGUCGACCAUCAAACAUCAUUUGACCACAUCCUACGGACGUACAAUUAUUAUGAACUAGGCAGUGGGCCAAUUUUUUUCGUUUUACCACGCUAAUGGCGAAUAAUUUUCAAGUCCUUUAUAAUUCCUGUGAAAUCUACACCUGUACGCGUUUGCAUCUCUGUGCGCUGCACCCGAAAGCGGAAUGAAAUGAACCGAAUUUUAUCUUCGGUCGGUGACUCAUUCACAGAAAAGAACGUCCCAACGGAUGUAUCGUGUAGUGUGAAAAAUCAAUUUUAUCUCUAGAGACUAUACUUCGAUCUGGAAAAGAUAUUUGGAUACCAUUACAGCGAUCCAAUUGUCCCGAAUUAUCAACCAUACGUGAAAAAGUUUAAUGCAUCGAUAGUAAAAAACGAAAAAAUAUUUGUACUCGUCAGAGGACAGACACAGGCGGAUGCAGUGAGUGUAUUCAUUCUAAUUUAGAAGUAUAAUGCUGAGCAGGUUUAUUCGGUAAUAUUUGAACAACUAUGUCUACGCGAAUCCCUGUAAAGCUGCGGUUAUUUCCGCAUGAAAUAUGCAGUUCUAGUACCCCGCGGGAAAAUGUUAUUCAGAAACAAAGUUGGAUAAUCAGAUCACCCAGUUUUUGAAUCAGCGUUGUUUAAACAUGCAGAAGGUUGAUUUCUAUGUUCAUCUUGAUUUUCGAAACAGGAAGUUAUAUUUAUCUCAAAUAAUAAAUUGUCGAUUCUGUGAUGGCGUAAUACCCGACGUUCAAUAUUGCGUAGAAUUGUUGAAAAAUAAUUAAAUUUUGUAUUUACCUCUCAUCAAUCUGCAUCGAGUUGAUUUAAUAAUAAUAAUCUUUCGAAAAGUAAUUGAGAACUUUAAUAACGAAUAAUUAAUUAGCAUCCAGCGAAAUUUGUGUAAGAAUAAUUUCGGGGGAGAUGGCCACGCGGGAAAGAUGGCCAAUCGUCGAAAUUUUCCUCCACGAAAGCUGGCCCUUAUGGCCAUCUCCCCGGAUUACUCUAAGCAGAGCUAUAGAUUGAAAAAAAAAUUACUUCCCCUUCUGGAUUAUAAUAUUAGUCUCGAUAUGCUACAAAAUGAAUAAUCACUCUGUCAAUUCUAAAAGACAAUUAGCUGUCUUCUUUGCUCCUAACAGAGUGUUCUCGUCAUAAUUUUCGUCUCAUUCUUACGUACAAUAUAUUGAUAGUGUGACACAUGGAAUAUAAAAAGUACAAUAAUUGCAGCAUAAUUAUAUAUGGCAUAUGCAAACGUAAGAUAUACGAAAGAAAGUAUUUUAUUAAUUUCGGUCUGAUCAAUUAUUAUAUUCGAUAAGACAACAUAAUGAUAAAACUUUCUGAUGAUUUAUAAAUAAUACCGUUAUAUUAUAUUCCGUUUUAUAAAAAUUAAAAUAAAUAUAUUUAUAUAUCUAUAUACAUACAAAACAUAAAUUUAAGUUUGUGUUGUGCUGGGUGAUGAUUUUGACAUCUAAGUACAUAGAUUAAAAUUAGGUGCAGCUUCAGAUCUUGUGAUAUUCUUUCUUUUCGUUUUUUGUACUAAUUUUUGUCUACUUUCCCAGAAGAAUUUUGCGAGUUGCCCCAAGACUCUGACCAGCCUGGGUAGCUCCCUUG